AUGGCUCAGGAUGAACGCUAGCGGCAGGCUUAACACAUGCAAGUCGAGGGGCAACGCGAGUAGCAAUACUUGGCGGCGACCGGCGCAAGGGUGCGUAACGCGUGAGCAACAUGCCCGUAUCAGGGGGAUAAUCCAGGGAAACUUGGUCUAAUACCCCAUAGUAAUUUUGUAAGGCAUCUUAUAAGAUUUAAAGCUUUGGUGGAUACGGAUUGGCUCGCGUGACAUUAGCUGGAUGGUAAGGUAACGGCUUACCAUGGCUAUGAUGUCUAGGGGUUCUGAGAGGAAGGUCCCCCACACUGGAACUGAGACACGGUCCAGACUCCUACGGGAGGCAGCAGUGAGGAAUAUUGGACAAUGGAUGGAAAUCUGAUCCAGCCAUGCCGCGUGAAGGAAGAAGGUCCUAUGGAUUGUAAACUUCUUUUGUAUGGGAGCAAUAAGGCCUACGAGUAGGUUGAUGAGAGUACCAUACGAAUAAGCACCGGCUAACUCCGUGCCAGCAGCCGC
rnacentral:rRNA from 1 species